GUUUUCAUGGGAGUUGACCAACUAAUGAGUUCCGCUUCACUAUAAAAUGUAAUCUGGACACCGUGGAAAGAGCGGUAUAUUUGAACUGGGACAUCUGCUUGGAAGGGUCAGACCAUGUGACCCAGAAAGCCUUUGACUGGGAAAGCUCUUAACGAGCCUUUGAGUACACUGAUCGUUUCAUCAGCUUCAAACUCACAGCUUUACAGUAGUGACUACACCCACAAGCCCACUGACGCUGAAGAAAACCUUGAACUGAGAGGUUAGGAAUGGGCCAGACACAAAUGCGAAGGCAGGAACUAUUUCAUAAUGUAUUUUCUACAAACCCCAAAUAGUUAUUUUAUUGUUAUGUUAUUUUUCUAGGUAGUGUUUAAGUAGGCUAUUUCCUCUAAACAAAAAACCAAAAAAAAACUAUGAUUGGAGAUAAGUGGGUUAUCUGCUGUAUUUGUGUAUAAAUAAAACCUUUAGUUUAGAAUGACAAGUACCCUACAAGAUAGUCUAGUUAUACAUUCCUAAAUAUCGUUCGUGAGACUCUGUGCUCUUCCUAUGCAGGUCCUCCUCUGUGAACUGAGCCAGGGUUUCCCCGAAUGCCCGAGGCCCACUGCCAGCGGGCCGGUCCCCCACCACCCCUUCACUCCUCCCCCUUCUAUCGAGGUUGACUUGCUCUGACUAAGCUCGCCCAACGACGUGGACAGCAAAAUGUGGUCUUUAUCAUUUUUUUUUUCUUUUGGCCCGGGACUGCUUUUGUGCCCGUCUGCGGUUCCCUCUGUGCUCGCCCCAGAACGGCUUACAUCAGCACAUUUCACUGCUUUGAUCCCAUGUGGAUGGAAAAAAAAGAGACGGGGAGAAAAAAGUGAAUCCGUUUUUUUUCUCCCUCCCGCUUCUUUCUAUGCCUUUCAGCACUGACACAUCAUCAUAGCCCUGUGGCGUCAAGCGGGACACUUGGAGAGAUGUGUUAGACAGACAGUGAACCCGUUGCACAUUUGAUGAGGUAACACCAAUAAUACUAUCAGUACUGAUUCUCAUGACGACAAAGGUAGGCUCAUUUCAUAUCGUGCCGAUUCACAAUUUCCAGACAUCUCCAACUUGAGUGUGAUUGAUUGGACAUUUGGGGAUGUUUUGCUGCCCUUUUGUGGAGCUUUAAAACAUCCACAAAUAUAGACAACAUAUGACCUCUUGGCACACGGUCGAUUCAUAUUCUCUGGAACUUCCUUAGGAAGUUGGAGGAGGGAAAUGGAAAAGGCAGGUGUUUCCAGCACAUGUGCACGUAUGCUUUUUCCUGCAUGUGUAGAUGAAUGUCAGUGACUUUUGUCACAAGCAAGGGAUCCAAAUCUGGUGGUUAGGAUCCCACUCGUUCAGGUAACCCAUUCCGUGUCAUGGGACGACCUCUGAGGAGGCUGGAGGGGAUUCAUCUCCUCCAGGCCCGUCUGUCUGACCCACUGCACCCUCACCCUGCUCCCCGUCUGUCUGUCUGACCCACUGCACCCUCACCCUGCUCCCCGGCUGUCUGUCUGACUCACUGCACCCUCACCCUGCUCCCCGGCUGUCUGUCUGACCCACUGCACCCUCACCCUGCUGUCUGUCUGACCCACUGCACCCUCACCCUGCUCCCCGGCUGUCUGUCUGACCCACUGCACCCUCACCCUGCUGUCUGUCUGACCCACUGCCCCCUCACCCUGCUGUCUGUCUGACCCACUGCACCCUCACCCUGCUCCCCGGCUGUCUGUCAGUGGCCCCGGGAGCUGGGUUCCAAUGUGAUCCCUAUAGUCCUACAGUAUGUGACGGGAGGGUUGAGACAGACCACUGCGCACAUGAAUUUGCCUUAGUAGAGAGGGGGAGAAAGUGAGAUUUUGAAACUAUACAACCCAAGAUAAUCCUCUUUGCUCCCGACUUCCCCGUUUCUCCGCCGUUGAAAAGUGUUAUUCAUUCACAGGUAUGAUUGACAGGCAAGGUGGAAUACCCCAACCAAUCAGGGAAGCGAAGCCCUGAUUGGGCACAAAUGAGCCGGGAGUGGUCCAAGAUCAAAAUGGACUCAUACAGAUGCAUUUCACUCACUGAUAGCUGAGGCAUGGCUAUGCCAUUUCUCACAAAUGCGAAGUUGCAUAUCCAUGCAUCAGAUAAUGUCAUACUAUAAUAUCCUGCACAAAUAUAUUUAAAGAUGAAUAAUGUCUAGUAAUGUAAUGUGGGGAAUGAAUGUGACAUAGUAGACACAAUAAAAAUGGUUGUACCUUCCAUGUGCCAACACAGACUGAAAAGGACAGCCAAUAGAAAAUGAUUCAAAUCAUGACUCUGAACUUUCAUGAACGCACAUCGAGUGAUAAAGGGAAAUCUUUCUCCCAAGUGUUGAAAGAGAAAGUUGUAAAUAGGCUCCAUUUUACUGAGCCUUCCCGACCUUGAAAAAAUAAAACCGGUAUAUAUAACGAGUAAACCACAGACGCAAGCCGCUGUGGAUGAAAACAGGAACAUUGGCGUCACAUGCCUCGGCGCCCGAGGUCUUUGACAAGCCCAGCCACCCACCCAUGGAACUCCACACAAUGAUCCAUGGAAAGGGAGACAUUUCCUGUGUGCUGUAAUCGUUUGCUCCUAACUCUUUGGCUUGGGGGUAGUGUGCAGGCAGGCCACCAUAAUAUAUCACUGUUGUCCUACCCUAGAUGUUCAUUGUCUCAUAGUCCGUCUUUCCCAGAAUUCCUUGGCUGGACAUAGCCAGUGUGUAAUAACUCGCUGAGAACAACUGCAAUGAGAUAUGAUUUAUGAGUCAUCUGAAAGAAUGCCAUUCUACAUUUAUUAUUGGAGAAUGGAAUAACCUGAGCCGAGUUUAGUAGAAGUAGAUUGAAUUCGGAUAGGAUUCAUUUAUUGACUAAUCAUGUAACUCAUGUACAAAAUGUUCUUCAAUACUAAUUACAUUUAAUAGGCCAAAAUGUCAGAUGUUGAUAAAUAUAAAUAAAUAUCUCCAAGGAUUUUUGCAUGACAUGGAUUUGAUUAAUUUGUAAUUAUUUUUAAACACCACAAUAACUCAAAUGUUAAUUUCCGAUAAAUGUUUCGUUAUAAAUACGCAUGAAAAGGAUUUGAUACAAUCUUAUAAUUUCUGCCGAUUUGCCGAAGGAAAGAAAAUACAAAUAACCCACAAAUCUUCCCCAGCAAUCGAGGCCUAGGGCCCUUAAUUGCUCCAUCAGUCUAACCAUCUAACGCUAUGAGGAAUAUCAAAUAGCAAUCCCUUGUUCUCGUCUGUUUAUGUCCUUGUUUUUUGUGCAAUGGGAAGUGGCAACAUUGGUUGAGCCACUUCCUGUGGUCUAAAUCGAGGUUGUCACGGCGAGGCCGAGGCAUAUUGAAUUCAGAAAGGAGGCGAGUUGACUGGAAAACAUUCAUUACUUCAACAGUGGCUGGUGACACUUGGCCAAAAUAAAGGCCAUUUGUUUUGACUGCAGACUGAUGGCAAAUAGGUCAGGGUGACUUCAGAGGCACAAUAGAGUGAGCCGGGCCGGGGUUCUGUGGCCUCCUCAGCAACAAUCCACUUUAUCUGAGGGACUAAACCCUUGCCGCUCACUCUACUUAUCAUUACAUUGGCAAUCUUGGAAUACUCUUCAAUUGGUUCAUGUCAUGCCUACAAACUGGAAACUAUUCAGUUCAGAUGUGCAAUCUCUCCCAUCCUCCCCUGCCCCCCUUUCAUCUACAGGGUUCCCAGAGGGUCAAUUCUAGGUCCGGAAAUUCAUGUUUCCGUCUUUGCUGACGAUACACAGCUGUACCUCUCACUGAAAUGUCCCAAAAACGUACUUAUGCAAAUUUACAAUCCAAUGAAUUUUGCCCCCAGACAAUAUAAAUAUGUUUCAAACAAAUGUUCUAAUUUUCUUUUGUAGAUUAUUAUGAGCGUUUUUUUGACUAAAACACUGCAUUCUUGGUUGUAGUUGGGCUAUUUGUGCUUGGACAUAAGGAUAUAUAUGUAUGAGAAUUUGAAAUAAGGCAAAUUACACAUUUGUAACAAAUAAAAUAGUUUAUAGUUCAGGCCUACUGUUGUUCAGCUGGUACCCUCACCGUAUACUGUAAUAAACAAUAUAAAAAACUAAACACAAAAUAAAAGUAAAAUACCUGACACACACACACACACACACACACACACACACACACACACACACACACACACACACACACACACACACACACACACACACACACACACACACACACACACACACACACACACACACACACACACACA